UACGUAGGUGGCAAGCGUUGUCCGGAUUUACUGGGCGUAAAGAGCGCGCAGGCGGUCGUUCAAGUCGCGUGUGAAAGCCCCCGGCUCAACUGGGGAGGGUCACGCGAUACUGAUCGACUCGAAGGCAGGAGAGGGAAGUGGAAUUCCCGGUGUAGUGGUGAAAUGCGUAGAUAUUGGGAGGAACACCAGUGGCGGAAGGCGACUUACUGGACACAGAUUGACGC
rnacentral:rRNA from 1 species